GACGAACGCUGGCGGCGUGCUUAACACAUGCAAGUCGAACGGAAAGGCCCUGCUUUUGUGGGGUGCUCGAGUGGCGAACGGGUGAGUAACACGUGAGUAACCUGCCCUUGACUUUGGGAUAUCUUCAGGAAACUGGGGCUAAUACCGGAUAGGAGCUCCUGCUGCAUGGUGGGGGUUGGAAAGUUUCGGCGGUUGGGGAUGGACUCGCGGCUUAUCAGCUUGUUGGUGGGGUAGUGGCUUACCAAGGCUUUGACGGGUAGCCGGCCUGAGAGGGUGACCGGCCACAUUGGGACUGAGAUACGGCCCAGACGCCUACGGGAGGCAGCAGUGGGGAAUAUUGCACAAUGGGCGGAAGCCUGAUGCAGCAACGCCGCGUGCGGGAUGACGGCCUUCGGGUUGUAAACCGCUUUCGCCUGUGACGAAGCGUGAGUGACGGUAAUGGGUAAAGAAGCACCGGCUAACUACGU
rnacentral:rRNA from 1 species